rnacentral:piRNA from 1 species
UAGCAUGUGACCAUGAACCUGGUCUCCAAAGU